rnacentral:tRNA from 1 species
GGAGGGAUGGCCGAGUGGUUGAAGGCGGCGGUCUUGAAAACCGUUUCUCCCAAAGCCGGGAGACGUGGGUUCGAAUCCUACUCCCUCCGCCA